ACACUCGAUUGAAACCUCACGGAAGGUUACAAACUAACCGGUGCGUUUUGUGUACACUGGCCAAUUUUAAUUAAUUCCAAUUAGUUUUAAUUAAUUAUUAAUUAUGUCAGCCUCUGUCGCCACAAACCCUUCGACAGUUCUUCCAUUGGAAUUGGUCGACAAGUGUAUAGGAUCGAGGAUACACAUAAUUAUGAAGAACGACAAAGAAAUUGUUGGUACGCUGCUCGGCUUUGAUGAUUUUGUCAAUAUGCUCCUGGAGGAUGUGACAGAGUAUGAGACGACGCCUGAAGGAAAGCGUAUCACCAAGCUGGAUUUGAUUUUGCUCAACGGCAACAACAUCACAAUGUUGGUCCCUGGUGGUGAUAUGCCUGGUGAAUGAAAUCACUCAAGAUUGGCUCUUUGUACAUACAUAUAUGAGUGAACAACGUUGACAGGUGGAUCGUGGUCUUUAUUGUCUUGUAUUUUUCAAUGAUGUGUUGGGUGGUUGAGUCUGGGCUGGUUUUCCACACCCAACCAUGAUUUGAACAAUCCCAUUGUUCAUACAGAAUACGAGGUUUUGCCAAACUUCUCACUCUUUUUGUG